UCUUGCAUGUAAGUAAGCACGUAAAGGAAAGGUAUAUCUAAGGCACUGACUUAGAACAAAUCUUAAAACUAUACAGGGUCACCCUAGGAAUACAUUUCUCAGUCCCACGAAUCAUGAGGUAGGAAUUAAUUGGUGAAAACUCCAACUCAGAAAAUCAAAGUCUAAAGCUUGACCAAAAGACAAUUCAUAUCUCUAACUUUUGAUAAAUCAACGCACCUCAGAAUCUAUCGAAUAUUCACAAACCCUGUUCAAAUAAACCAUAGUCAUCAGAAAAGCAUUACAAAAGCAUCAGUCCAGACUGUAGGACUACAGUCAGUCUAUCACUGACACCAUGGAUGUGAUGGAUGAAAAGUCCUGACUUACAUGUACACAUACAUUCAAAAUCUGCUCAUAUUUCUCAAUGCAGUGAAGGGCACAACUUAUUCUCAGCCUCCACUAAGUUAUAAGUUAAAGUGAUUGAAAAGUGCACUGAAACUACCUCAAAUAAUUCACUUAACAUGUAUGUUAAGCUAAAUGUAAAAGGAAAGCUUUCCGAGGAAACAUCUCUUUUGGAUUCAGUCUCAGAAUAUUACUGGCUAGUGGAAAUUACGAUAUACAUGUACCAAAACCUUCAACAUCGUAAAUUUGCUAGGACUUCUCAAAUUAUCCCAAAGUUCAGACUUCAUAAAAUCAAUCCGUACACUUGUUUUCACAAUUUACUACAAGAGUCAUUGUGGAAAAAAUGCAAUGACUAAACCCCAGAAAAGACACACAAUAGUAUAAACAAUGCUUACCAGUAGAAAAGUCAAAAGCUCAGGAAAGAACAAUUUAACUAUGCAAAAAAAAAUUACAGUCAAAAGAAAAAAAGUUGAAAUAGUAACUCAAGACUUCUUUUGGGACGGGGGUUACAUCAUAUAUGUUUUUGCUAUGUUUCAAUGUGUUUGGUCUCCCAUACAGUAUGUAGUUUGUCUGUAUGAAAGCUGUUUCUUUACACAUGUACAUGUAUUAGGAAGUGAUAAUUCCGAUUGUUAUUUUUAUCUUUUUGUUAUUUUCUUAUCAUGACAAAUUUGUGAGCAGCACUGCAAUGCCAGACGAAUCCUAUAGAGACUUUGGUUGAUCCUUUAACCCAUCCAGACUCUGGGAAGUCACCAGUCAAAGUGACUUCUGUCGGAUGUCUUUGUAAAAUCUUAGAUGAUGAGGGACAAGUGGAGGUUUGUGAGGGCCCUGUUGAGCAACUGGGAGAAGCGGGCAAACCUGAAGAUGAACCAGAGGAGUGUGAGUUGCCAGAGGAUGACUCCCCGAAUACCUCUCUUCAUCAUCAUCAUCAUCUGACUCUUUGGGAAAACACGUAAGCCAAACGAGAAGAAGGAGAGGACGAAGCCCGAGGACCGCAUUUAGAAAACAAGCUGAUGUGAGCCCUCACCUCCAACCAAAGUACAUCGUGCUUGAGGGCUCACUCAUGGUACUUUUCAAACACUGUCACAAGUGCAGUUCCUCCAGGGUGGAGAUCGAGAAGCGAAUAAUUGGCUCUUGCCUGACAGUCACCGAGGACUGCCUCAGUUGCAAGAGACAGAGCCAGUGGGAGUCGCAGCCAUUUUCUCUACCACUCAAGCAGGAAAUCUGCUCGUGUCAGCUGCCAUCCUCUUAGGUGGGCAGGGGCCUACUGAAGUGCUGCGCCUGGUCAACAGCAUUGGCAUAGUUACACACACCGUAAGGACGUACAGCACCCACCAGCAAAGGUUUUUGCUGCCUGCAAUUAAAAAGACCUGGUCCAACCAUGUUAAGCUACUCCUGAGCAGGCUGAAGGAAUCUGGGAAACCACUGACAAUCAGAGGAGAUGGGAAGGUAGACAGCCCUGGGCAUUUGGCCAAUCAUGGCUGUUACACUGCCCUGGAGCUCAAUCACAACAAUAUCAUCGAUCUGCAGCUUGUUCAGGUUAUGUCAAGGAAGUGGUCAGUGAAGUUGUUAGAUGCUGCGCCCACGGCAUCAUCCCUGUCAAUGUCAAGCCAGUGCCACCCCCUCUUGCAAGUACGAGGUCCCUAACGAGGAGGAUUUGAUAGCGAAGCAACAAAGCCGAUUUAAGUCAAAAUGAAACAACUGUAAUUCCUAUCAGUUUACUGUGUCUAAUGUUCAAAAGGCAGUUGGAAACUUCUGUAUUUUUCACAGUCAAUACGUUUUCAUGUCUUGGAUCAAGUUGGAUUGGGCACCUACAUUGUGCUUAAUAUAAUAUCAAACACACUAAACUUGAUUUAGUUGAGAAUUCCAAUCAAGCAAGCGAAAACUAAAUUAUGGCAACCAUAACAGAUUUUAUUACUUUUAAAUUAGUGGAGUCCUUGCUGUUUGGUUUAUACAUGUAUUUAUCAAGAUUUGAUAUUCUUGAAAGGUAGUCAAACCUCUUAACAAAGAGGUCCUUGAAAAUUUAAAAAAUAACAUAGUUGUAACAGGAACCUUGUACACUGUACAUGUAUUAACAGGAGUGGAAAACUCUAGCCAAAACUCUUUUCAUAACAGAAAGCAGUGCUCUUAUUGAGGUUCGACUGUAUACAUACAUGUACACAGUAAUAUGAUACAAAGUAUGCAAAGCAGUUUGUAAAAGUCAAUAUUGACACUCAGUUUUCUGUAUGCUUUUAUUUGUAUCAAAUACACCCAAUAUCAUGUGUGAUACUUAUUACUAGCGUGUCAUGUUCAAACUGGGUUUUUUUGGCAGAGGUAACAAUUGCCAUUAACUGCUAUAUUAUAUUUUUCUCACUGGGAACUUUUUGGACAGGUUGCUGUAUUUUUACUUAAGCACUGUUGAAACCUGGAACUGUUGAAAGAAAUUUGCAUAGAAUAUCUAAAACUGGGAAUGUGAUCAGUGAAUACACAUAGUUUUUACAGUACACAGAGCGUAUUAAAUCCAAGUCACAGAAUCAAAGUGAGAAUACAUGUACAUGUAAUAUGAAAGUAUAGAUCUGACAAAUGUGACGGCCUCAGAAGUUUAACAUCAAAAUGUGUGGCAGUAAGUAAAGUCUGUCUUGCAUAUUAAACAGGGAUGCAUUUUUGUUUUAUUUAGAUUCAUUUAGUGAUCUAACAAUAUUUCAAGUAACACAAUCUCUUCAUUUUUGUGUCUCAUAUGCAUUUACUAAAUGUAUCUUGUGUAUGUGCACAUACACUCAUGCAGUUUCCACAGUUUUCACCAUGUCAAAAAACCAACUUUACAUCCCCGUUUAAAAUGUUGGUUUACAUUAGUCUGACUCAACUUCAUUAAUCCAAACGCUGUCCACAGAUGGAAAGGCCUCCCUGAUGAGAUGAACAGCACACGCUGGAAGUGGAACAUGUACAUGUACCAUGCGUCCAAAGUGUCCCCAACACCACUGUGUCAGCUGCCUAUAUGCAGUAUGGCGGUACU